UCCACCCAGACAUUAGACCACAAAGAAAUGCUUGAGUAUACCGAAAUGAAUGUAAGGUGAAAAAACCCAUACCGAGGGCCACUUGUCUCACAGGAGCUGUGCAGAGACCAUCCAGUUCACUGACUACUCCAUGGAACUCAAGAACAACCGUCAUUAGAGAGGAUAAAGGGAAGCAAUCUGUAGCCUCCUCUCUCCCCCACCCCCUGCAGUUUCUCAUCUCAAUAGGCACACAGGGCUGCCUUGUCAGAACACACUGAACAACAACUGCCUAUUCACUCAUAGAAAGGUUUUCCGUAAGUGUCCCAUUAAUGUACUGGCCCUAUGCUGGAAUGUGAGAUUUGAUGGGCUCAAAUACAGAGAAAUUUUGUUGUAAGGACUCAAGCAUCUUGUGCAAAGCUUUCAAAAUGUAAGCAGGCGCUGUGAGCUGUAGUAUUGGUAUACCAUCAAGUAAAAGAACAGCAGAGGAAAAUAUAUCGAAAAUGUAAAAAGAAUUAAUAUGAAAUCUAGACUUAGUUUUAUCAUAUGAGGGUUAGCCACUGUUUUACUGACCUACAUCAAUUGAGGAUUACAGAGAUUAGUGAAAGGAAUACUUAAUAGCUGAACUGUGGAUUCCAAAGAGGAUUAUCUGAUGGGACAACUGAGGAAGUUAAAGAGAGAAAUGACCUACCCAAGUCACAAAACAAGUCAAUCCAGGAGUAGAACUCAAGAGCUUUGGCUCACAGCUCCACAUGCUUACUUUGGACCAUGCUACCUUGCUGCCAAUAUACUACAGUAAUAACAAUUUACUGCACAUCUCAAUAAAGUGCACUAUGUUCUGUGUACUUAAGCAGAACAAUGCAUUUUUUUCUCAUUAAUACUAAGUCUAUUUGUUGCUCAGCAGGACUAAUAUUUAUACAUUCUGGAUCUUGUGAUGAAGUAGUAAGCUCUGAUUUCAGUUAAAUCUGACAGGUUCUGAUAGCAAAAUGUCAUUAUAGAACUUCAAAAGCACUUGCUCCAUAGCAAGAUCUUUACAAUUAUCUACAUAAUAUCUUUCAACUCCUGUUGGCUCCUUGAUCUUCUGUGGAAAUCCCAACGCCUCUGCCAGUUUUGGUUUAUGAAAAGUUGACCAUUAAGGCAUAACUAUUUUAAAAAAGAUAUGCCAAAAUGUUACAAGAUUUUACCCAGUUUGAUAUCCUUUCUGGAAUACGCACUUAAUAAAAAUUGCAUUUUUACUAAGUAAUUGGCCAUAUGAGUCAUGUGCUAUUCAUGUAUUGUUCAUGAAUCAAACCAAGAGCCAUUUAAAAAUGACUAGCAUCAGGAAAACUUAAUAGCUUUUCAACAGAUUAUUUAAAUGACUGUAGCUAUGAUUUCUAAUAAUUUUUAUCCAAACAGCAAGGUUUUAGUAAGCUGUGGCAGGACUCUCUCCAAAAAGAGUAACUUUCUGAUUAAAACCUUUUGUUACUGGAUUUAAGAAAUUAAAGAAAAAAGGGGAACGUCUGAGUUAUGUAUGCAUCUGUCAAAUCCUGGAUCUUUAUAGUGUAACAAUUUGACCAAUCACAGGUAAAAGAACUGGUGGUUUGGGAGGGAUAUAUUUCACUUUAUGAAUCAUAGCUAAUAACGUAGUUAAGUACUUUCUGAACAGGCACUUCCUGCAGACUGACCAAUCUGUAGAUUGUGUUCCUAGUAGUUUCUGGUGCAAUAGUUUGGCAUGCAUGAUGCAUUUGGAGAGUGAUUUGCCAGCAUUCCAGCAACAUAUGCAACUUUAGCUGGGAUUUCUUAUUACAGAUUAGCACCAUUUCGAAUUCCUUGAUUGGUUGAUUGUCUAUACUAUAAAGCCAGGUGUAUUUCACAGCAUCAGCUAUAUUCACCUAUUUCUUUUCUUGUUGUUGUGGUUUGAAUCCUUGAUCUGAUUUUGCCAAUGGCUACCUGGCCUCUCAACACAGUGUUGCUUUUCAGGAAUAUUUUCUAAUAAUGACAACUGUAGUUAACAUUUAUAUUUAUACUGUACAAUUAUACUUAACUAUUUAAAAUUUCAAAAAGAUGCAAAACAUUCAUUAAUUUGACAAAUAAAAUCACUAUGGGGUAGACAAAUAGGAUCAUUAUCCCCAUGUUAUAGAUGAGGAAACUGAGGCUGAAAGAUUAAAUGUCUUGCCCAGUGUCACAUGGGAAGUCUAGUGGCAGAAAGAGGGUUAAACUGAAAGUUACCCCUUCUAGGUGCAUUUCUCGAGACCAGGGUCUCUCAUAUUUGUUUAAUAAUAUAGACCACAUCUUAGUAGAGGGAUUCACUUGUGGACUCCUCCCUUCUCACUCAGGAUCCCAUGUGAUCUUAACUGCAGAAAUUGUUUAUAAAGAAAAAUAGUAUUAGGAAAGUGCCAGCCUGAUGUGACCAGCCAACAACUCCCCGGUCAUCAGCAAGUACUCUGUGGACCACCAGCAGUUCACUGAUCACAGUCUGAGAAUCACUACUUUAGCACUAUAUCUUGAGUUUUAUUACUCUAGGUCACAUUGACUCGUGGUACAGCAAUGUUAACUAAUCCUUUAUUAAACAAUUCUCCAAGCACAAAUAAAGCAUUUGGGUUGUUAACAUACAUAAGUUAUAUUAAAGAAGGUUUCAGAUCAGCACAUUGUAUUUUGUAGCAAAGUCAUAAAAUAUGCUAACAUGAUAACAUCUAAUGAGGGAAAUGUUACAUGCAGAUGUCUGUUUGCCUAUUAUCCCAUAAAAUGACUGUAUAUUUUUAUUUAUAUGAGUAACAUCAGACACAAAUGUGUUACCAUAAAUGCAUUCAUUUAGGAAAAAGUAUAAACACAAUAUGAAUCUAAUAUAUAUGUAAAACUGUUUUAAAACCUGAUAUUUAAUGUUUAUAAAAAGAAUAAAGAUGAAAAAAAUGUCCAUAAUUACAUUUUU